rnacentral:sRNA from 1 species
GUGUAUUACAACUUAGUUGUUUGCUACUUAACCUUUCUUAGUUUAGUAAUUUUAACUUACUCUUUUCUUUUUAUUACAUUUUUUGGUUUACAUGAUAUGGUUUUUUUGUGUGUUUAUGAUAAAUUGGUAACAUUAAUAAUGACAUGCAUAUUUUUAAGUAGUGAUCUUUUGAGACGUUAGAUAUACCAAAAAGUUCAAUAUACGACGCUUUCUCUAAUAUGGAUAUAUGCAAAGGCAAAGAGAAAAACCUAAAACUGUUGACUUAAAAGACUAUUUAAUUUAAGCUUUCUUUUUUCUCUUUCAUGGGAAAACUUUUAAAGUAGAUGAGUAGUUUAUAUAUUUGUUAUUUAAAUUAUGUCAAUCCAAUAUUUAGCCAUGAGCCUAUCAUGAUGUGAUUGGAAUACUAGAUUAGGAGAGAAUACAUGGAACAAGAAAUUGUUUGCUUAGAAUCAAGUUAGGCAACUUUCAAACCAAAUAAGUAGUAUAAUUGCAUACCAUUGUAUCAUAUUGUUGAUGUAAGUAUUUCAUGAUAGUUAAAAAAGUUUAGAAACUUGGAUAUAUAGAUAAGAAGAUUUAUACAUGAAAAAAUA